rnacentral:rRNA from 1 species
CAGUCGCCGCGGGAAUACGGAGGGUGCAAGCGUUAAUCGGAAUUACUGGGCGUAAAGCGCACGCAGGCGGUCUGACAAGUCAGAUGUGAAAUCCCCGGGCUUAACCUGGGAACUGCAUUUGAAACUGUUAGGCUGGAGUCUUGUAGAGGGGGGUGGAAUUCCAGGUGUAGCGGUGAAAUGCGUAGAGAUCUGGAGGAAUACCGGUGGCGAAGGCGGCCCCCUGGACAAAGACUGACGCUCAGGUGCGAAAGCGUGGGGAGCAAACAGGAUUAGAUACCCCUGUAGUCCCUGUCUCUUAUAC